rnacentral:rRNA from 1 species
CACGGUAGAGAUUCCGUCACCACCAAAAGAGUUAAGCACAGGGACACAUUUGAAGUCUCAGAGCCGGGUGUUGGUUCCGGUAGAGAUCGAGGGAAGUUAGUACCGAAGUCUGAGAUGGAAGAUGGCGAGAAAAGCUGUGUGUAUUCCUGAGGUGCCCGUACCGCAAACCGACACAGGUAGGUAGGAAGAAGAUUCUAAGGCCAACGGGAGAAGGGUUGUUAAGGAACUCGGCAAAUUGACCCCGUAACUUCGGGAGAAGGGGUGCUCCAGAGAUGGAGCCGCAGAGAAUCGGCCCAAGCAACUGUUUACCAAAAACACAGGUUUGUGCUAAAUCGAAAGAUGACGUAUACGAGCUGACGCCUGCCCGGUGCUGGAAGGUUAAGAGGAGAUGUGCAAGCAUUGAAUCGAAGCCCCAGUGAACGGCGGCCGUAACAAUAACGGUCCUAAGGUAGCGAAAUUCCUUGUCAGGUAAGUUCUGACCCGCAUGAAAGGCGUAAUGAUUUGGGCACUGUCUCAACAGCCCGCCCGGCGAAAUUGUAGUACCGGUGAAGAUGCCGGUUACCCGCGACAAGACGGAAAGACCCCAUGGAGCUUUACUGUAGCCUAAUAUUGGGUUUCGAUGUUGCAUGCACAGGAUAGAUGGGACACAGGGAAACAAUCGCUUUGGCGGUUGCGGAGUGGCCGUUGGGAUACCAUCCUUGCGAUAUUGGAAUUCUAACCUGCGGCUCUGAAUCGAGUCGGGGGACAUUGUUAGGUGGGCAGUUUGACUGGGGCGGUCGCCUCCUAAAAAGUAACGGAGGCGUUCAAAGGUUCGCUCAGCUUGAACGGAAAUCAAGCAAAAGAGUGCAAACGCAGAAGCGAGCCUAACUGCGAGACUGACGGGUCGAGCAGUAACGAAAGUUGGAGUUAGUGAUCCGGUGGUAUGUGAGUGGAAAUGCCAUCGCUCAACGGAUAAAAGUUACCCUGGGGAUAACAGGCUGAUCUCCCCCAAGAGUCCACAUCGACGGGGAGGUUUGGCACCUCGAUGUCGGCUCAUCGCAUCCUGGGGCUGUAUUCGGUCCCAAGGGUUUGGCUGUUCGCCAAUUAAAGCGGUACGCGAGCUGGGUUCAGAACGUCGUGAGACAGUUCGGUCCCUAUCUGUCGUGGGCGCAGGAUAUUUGAUGGGAGCUGUCCCUAGUACGAGAGGACCGGGACGGACGUACCUCUGGCGCACCAGUUGUUCCGCCAGGAGCAUAGCUGGGCAACUACGUACGGAUCGGAUAAACGCUGAAAGCAUCUAAGCGUGAAGCCGACCCAAAGAUAAGAUAUCCCACUGAUUAGAUCAGGUAAGAUCCCUUGAAGACUACAAGGUUGAUAGGCACGAUGUGUAAGUGGAGUGAUCCAUUCAGCAAGAGUGUACUAAUAGAUCGAGGGCCUGACC